rnacentral:rRNA from 1 species
ACGGGUGAGUAACGCGUGAGGAACCUGCCUUUCAGAGGGGGACAACAGUUGAAACGACUGCUAAUACCGCAUGAUGCAUUUUUGGGGCAUCCCUUAAAUGCCAAAGAUUUUAUCGCUGAAGAUGGCCUCGCGUCUGAUUAGAUAGUUGGUGGGGUAACGGCCCACCAAGGCGACGAUCCAGUAGCCGGUCUGAGAGGAUGAACGGCCACAUUGGGACUGAGACACGGCCCAAACUCCUACGGGAGGCAGCAGUGGGGAAUCUUCCGCAAUGGGCGCAAGCCUGACGGAGCAACGCCGCGUGAGUGAAGAAGGUUUUCGGAUCGUAAAGCUCUGUUGAGAGGGACGAGAGACAUAAUCAGGAAAUGGGUUAUGGAGGACGGUACCUUUCGAGGAAGCCACGGCUAACUACGUG